rnacentral:rRNA from 1 species
GACAGAGGUGCCAAGCGUUAGGCGGAAUCACUGGGCUUAAAGCGUGUGUAGGCGGAGUGCUAAGUACCUUGUGAAAUCCCACGGCUCAACCGUGGAACUGCUGGGUAUACUGGUUCUCUUGAGCGACCCAGGGGCGAGCGGAACAAACGGUGGAGCGGUGAAAUGCGUAGAUAUUCGGAAGAACACCAGUGGCGAAGGCGACUCACUGGACACGUAUUGACGCUGAGGUGCGAAAGCGUGGGGAGCAAACAGG